rnacentral:rRNA from 1 species
CACGGGGAGGUAGUGACGAAAAAUAACGAUACGGGACUCAUCCGAGGCCCCGUAAUCGGAAUGAGUACACUUUAAAUCCUUUAACAAGGAUCAAUUGGAGGGAAAGUCUGGUGCCAGCAGCCGCGGUAAUUCCAGCUCCAAUAGCGUAUAUUAAAGUUGUUGCGGUUAAAAAGCUCGUAGUCGAAUUUGUGUCCCGCGCCGCUGGUUCAUCGCUCGCGGUGUUCAACUGGCGUGUUCGCGGGACGUCCUGCCGGUGGGUUCAUCGAAUUUAUCGUUUCGGCGGUGGUCGGUGGCCCAACUUGCAUCCGUUUCGCGCGGGUGUGAAUCCCAUCGCGGUGCUCUUUAUUGAGUGUCGAGGUGGGCCGGCACAUUUACUUUGAACAAAUUAGAGUGCUUAAAGCAGGCCAAUUUUGCCUGAAUAUUGUGUGCAUGGAAUAAUGGAAUAGGACCUCGGUUCUAUUUUGUUGGUUUUAGGAACCCCGAGGUAAUGAUUAAUAGGAACGGAUGGGGGCAUUCGUAUUGCGACGUUAGAGGUGAAAUUCUUGGAUCGUCGCAAGACGGACAGAAGCGAAAGCAUUUGCCAAAAACGUUUUCAUUGAUCAAGAACGAAAGUUAGAGGUUCGAAGGCGAUCAGAUACCGCCCUAGUUCUAACCAUAAACGAUGCCAGCUAGCGAUCCGCCGACGUUCCUCCGAUGACUCGGCGGGCAGCUUCCGGGAAACCAAAGCUUUUGGGUUCCGGGGGAAGUAUGGUUGCAAAGCUGAAACUUAAAGGAAUUGACGGAAGGGCACCACAAGGAGUGGAGCCUGCGGCUUAAUUUGACUCAACACGGGAAACUUUAUCAGGCCC